CUGCAAGCAUAUACCCCAGUGAUUUUGCUGCUCUGAGCUUUAAGAAGGGUCUGAGAUGAGCUGAGUGCCGUACCCUAAUCUGUGUGAGUGCCCCAACUGUGCUUUGACCUGUGCCUGUCUUUUGACUGUUCUUAAGUCUUACCCCUGAGCUUGAUGUUGGUCCAGAUCCAUCUGAAAUCAGCACAUUUCCAUGAGAAGCAAAUUUCCAAGGGAGCAGCAUGAUGAAAUGAAAGCAAAAGUACCUACUUGUGUACAAAUGAACCUAUUUGCAGGCACAUUAGUCAAUGGCAGUCUUGUGACACAGCAAGAACACUUGCAGAUCAGUCUGUGCAUCACUGUGACCAGUGCUUUUCUUGGCAAGUGGUCUUUCAUUUAUCGAUAAAUGUACAUUAUUUGGCAUUUCGACAUUAGUCAUUUUUCAAAAAUCUGUUUUCAAAAGGGGCUAAAGAUUGCAGGGCUCACUGAAAAGUACUCUCGUUUGGAAAGCCAGCUUUUUCAGGCUCUUCCUCUUGCUCACUCCCCAAAAGGAAAGUCUCAUCCAUGCAACUGCAGUGAGCCGACAAGUCUCUACACCACCCACAGAGAAGCUGAGGUCAAGCCACCACUACAGGGAACAACCAGCUCCACAAAUUUACCCAGGAAGCUACGCUAACCUGGCCAGCUGCAACACACACUGGAAUCUGUGAAAGCAUAUGGCCGACACAUUGAAUUAUGUGAGGAAGGCAAACGGGCCCCUUUUGGAUCACUGCAACUUUGACUAAAUUUCCCCUUUGGAAAAGAGAGGGAUCAUCAAACACUCCCAGUCUCCCAGAACAGCAGAGAGUGAAAUGGAGGCUACAGUAAAUCUGUAACAUACUGAGAGGGUGGAACAUUCAUGAAACCACCUGAAGCCAUGUCUGUAAGGAAUGAUGCACAUAUUCACUGAG